rnacentral:lncRNA from 1 species
AACCCUUUUUGUUGGUUGGUUGUAGCAUAAUAUUCUUAUGCACCGACUUUUAAAAGAGACCACCAAAACUCUACUUGUGGAUACUCUUAUAGUAUUAAGCAUCCUAUCCCAUUAAUAGGCGCUUGAAUACCAGAUAUUUAUUUGAAAUAACCCAAGAUAUAUGAGGUUGUGAAUGAGGUUUACAGAAUAGAGAAUAAUGCCCCUCCCCCCCCCCCAAAAAAAAAAAAGAGAAAAAAGAGAGAGAAUAUAAAGUAAAGUUGACAAAAUAACUAAACUCUGCGUUUUCUGCAUACCAAAUUAAAUAUUGAUAUACGUAUAUCAUUUGGAAUGAAAUGUUGAACUGGUCCUUAUCAGAACUGGUUCCUCAGACUGGUUCAAUGAUUU